CCCUGCCGUGGGAGGAAUGUGUGGUGUAGCGGUGAAAUGCAUAGAGAUCACACAGAACACCGAUUGCGAAGGCAUCUCACGAAGGGGUGAUUGACGCUGAGGCACGAAAGCGUGGGGAUCAAACAGGAUUAGAUACCCUGGUAGUCCACGCAGUAAACGAUGAUGGCUAACCGCUGGGCUUAUCAGUUCAGUGGCCAAGCGAAAGCGAUAAGCCAUCCACCUGGGGAGUACGACCGCAAGGUUGAAACUCAAAGGAAUUGACGGGGGCCCGCACAAGCGGAGGAACAUGUGGUUUAAUUCGAUGAUACGCGAGGAACCUUACCCGGGCUCGAACGGCAGAGGAACAAUCCAGAGAUGGUGCGGCCCUACGGGGCUUCUGUCGAGGUGCUGCAUGGUUGUCGUCAGCUCGUGCCGUGAGGUGUCGGGUCAAGUCCCAUGCCUUGUACACACCGCCCGUCACACCAUGAGAGCCGGGAACACCCGAAGUCCGUAGUCUAACCUGAAAAGGAGGGCGCGGCCGAAGGUGGGUUUGGUAAUUGGGGUG
rnacentral:rRNA from 1 species